AAUCUAUCGACUGAUUGUUAAAGGUUAUGAUAAGUUACAUGAAUACUAUUAUUGUUGUUAUUCAAUCAUUUUGUUUGGUAUAAUUUCAGGUGAGCAUCAAUUUGCUUGGUUAUUUUUUUUAAGUAAGACUAGAUAUCAACUGGUUAGAACAAACACAAGACCAUAGACAGUAUCUCCCAAGGCGAAUCAGAUUUUCCCAGAGAGCGUAGCCGACAGCGGGCUAGAACAAAUUGUGGACUUCCCAACAUGUUUUUAAAAAGAACACUUUGGACCUAAUGCAAACCUUAACCUUCAAUUGGAAACAACGACCAUGAAAUUGUUUUUGUAGAUAUGACAUGUAAACCCUAAAAAACUAAAACCAGUCAGAAGGAAAACAUACAUUUGAAAAAAGCCGUAAUACACCAAAUAAAGGAAGAUCGUCAAACUUAAAAAUACAAGAGACAGACAUGUUGAAUCUUUGUGACAAGCAUUUAAAACCGCGAUAUAAAACACCAUAAAGAAGAGAGUUUAAUAGAAAAACAAGAAAAAAGAACAAGAAAAGAACAACGGAUAGGUAAAAACAAAUACAACGGGAAAUCAGUAAAGCAAAUAAGAAAUAAAUGGAUGAAAUCAGCUCUGGAUCUAAGGACAAUGCUAGGCAAUUAUGGUCAUACACCAAAAGCAGAAGCUAAAAAUGGACAGGAGUUGGUCCAGUAAAAAAAUAAAUGUGAUUUUUCCAAAGUGACAAUAAGAAUACAAACAUAUUUAUUUAUAGCGGAUUGGGAAACAAGUUAUUGCAACUUAUAUAAACCGCUUUCCACUUUGCAGGUGCGAGAGCUGCCUUGUAGCGGCAUUGACCUACUCUUUUUCGAAAUCUACAAGGGUGUCAUUUACGUGCAAGAGAUAUGGCUCUCUUAACACGGGUCAGCCAUUAAUCGUCCUCUUCCGACGGACUAUCAUCGUUUCUCAAGACCACACUUGCUAAUAAGAGUAACGAUGAUGGCAUAUCAAAUGAUAAAUUUUAGUCAUUAUAUACCAAAUAAAACCAUAAACACUUCCGAAAUAAAGUGGAAAAGUCCAUAUUCCACCGUAAAGGAUAUCAAAAUUAUCACACAUGGAGUUUACGUAUUGUUAUACUAUCAUAAACCACAUAAAACCACUGGCUAAGAUUGAAUACCAUCUUUUAUACCGAAAGCAG
rnacentral:lncRNA from 1 species